UAUGUCUACACUUGCCAAGUAAAACAUUCUAUUGGACCUGUUCUUCCUUCUGAAAGUAUAUAAAGAAAAGGUGCAAGUUUGCUUCAUAUAUUUCAAUCUAAGAAAUUUUAUAUUUUAAUAAUUCAAAUGACAUCAGAAUGUAUAAGAUAAAUUUUGUGGUUGUCAUAAAGAUUUUAAGAUUAGCUAUUAUAAUUAAAGUCUUACUAGGAUAAUAACCCCUGGGUUCAAUGAAUACUAUUUCCUAUUGCUUCUUCUUGCUGGUGUAUAAUAAUAAAGAAAGAACACUGGGGAAUAAGAUAGAUUCUUAUUUAUUCAUAUCAUUAUAUAAAAUGAUACUGUUAGUCUGGCAAAUUUACCUCAUAUGAUAUUAUUUUAAUGUCUCAAUUGCAAAAUGAAGAUUCAUUGAACUAUUUGAUAAACAAAAUACAGUCAAUUCCUCUAUAACUUCCUAAGUAAUGUAACAUGUCAUACUAAAAUUUCAAAGCUUACUAGACCAAUAAAAUCAUAAUAGGUAUAUGUAAUUUCAUAAUUGCAAAAUUUUAGAAACUGAAUUUUUAAUUUUUAUUAAAAUAUUACCUAAAUCUGAUAACUAGAUUCCAGUAACAAACGCAAACUAUGCUGGAUUAGUGCAAAGGUCACUCAAACUUUAAUAAUAUAAGCCUCACAGACUCUUUCAAAAGAUGUUCAAAUUAUCACCAUUUUAAGCACUGUUUUAGGAAGAAACUUCCCAAGGCAGUUGCAAUAAGUAAAAAUGUACUAAAAUUAAGCAUAUCUUAUCAAGAUGUUGAAUGACAUAGUAUACACGGCAUGUAUUUACUGACAAAAAUGCCUUCCUUCAAAGAGUAAUUCCACCUAAAGAUGAAAAUUUUUGAUUCCUAUGGUUUUUGAUAAAUGAACAUUCUUAAAGGCAAAUUUUAAAAAAUAGCCAUGUCUGGCACUUUAAUUGAAAAAAAUAUUCACUGCUUAAGUACUCUAUCACUACAAUCAGAAGAUUCUAGAAUACUGAAAAUAAGUAUUAAAUUUUUCAAAGGUGAAAAUGCUGACCAGUAUUGGUAAGAUACUGAUGACAUCUUACUGCGUGAAAAGGAAAUACUCAUUUGAAAUGCAGCGUAUUUUAAAAGAAUAAAAUAAAAGCCAAUGUUGAAAAUUCUUCUAAUUUCUUUGUUUAAAAAAUGAAACCUAGAAAACCCCUAACAAAAGGAUACUCUAAAGUUUACAACAUUAUUCAGAAUUGCUCAUUUAAUGUCCCAUGAAAUAAACUGUCCUCACACAAACACCAUCAUAUCAGCAUUAAAAUUUUAACAAACUCACUGCAAAGCAAAGUCAAAAUAAUGAAAAUAAUAAAAAGUAAACAGAAAUAAGAGUAUUUAUCUUACAUGCAAUGGAUAAUGCAUAGCAUGACCAGACCCAAACAGCAUGCAUGGAGGAGGCAUUAUCAGGAAGAAUUGGCAAUAUGAAGAUCAUGUCCCAAUCCAGCAUACAAAGACACAGAGAAGAAAAUGAAAUCAUAAAAGAAAAAUCUCAAUGCAUAAGUUGUACUUUUAAUAUAGCAAUCUAGCUGACCAUUUUUUAAAAGAUUCACCACGGGCAUGGUGACUACAAAAUUCAAAAGCAUAAUCUUUCAAUAAGAAAGCACCAAGAGAGGCUGAAGAACUGGAAUAUAGUCUCUGCACACCCAUUGUUUUUGUCUGAUAUUAAAAUACCUAGUAUUUCUCAUUUGCAAAAUUUGGUUAUCAAUGGAAAUAAAUACCACACCAUUUGUGGAAACGAAAGAAUGAAAUGUUAACAAAUUUUAAAUUGAAAUAAUUACUAGAUAGUAUUACAAAUGCUACUUAGUUCAAAAAUAGCCUUCAAAUUGAGGAGUCUUGUGUGGUUGCUAGUUUGCCAUUUAGAGUUUUCUUAGAAUGAAAACAAAAAUAAAACAGACCAUUUUCAGGUUGUUUAUUUUUUAAUUAUAUUGUUAAGAGUUACAUGCAAUAUUUGAGGCUGCUGCAAAAACAAAAAUUCACUAAAAUGCACAUGACUGCAAAAGUAUAAGAUAAUACAUAAAAAGAAACAUGCAAGGACAGUAACAAAACAAUUUACUAUAUCAAGAAAGGCAUAAACAUAAUUUUAAACUUUAUAGGAAUUAUAAAAGAUAUGAAGACUUUCAUAUGCAACAAUAGGAAAUUCAGUUUGUUCUAAAAUUCUAGCACUGGAAGAGAGCUAAAGUUUCUCAACUAGGGCAGUGGCUCUGCACUUUAGACCUCCAUGGGGAGCUUUAAAAACUAUUUAGAGGCCGGGCACAGUGGCUCACACCUGUAAUCCCAGCACUUUGGGAGGCCAAGGCAGGUGGAUCACGAGGUCAGGAGAUCAAGACCAUGCUGGCCAACAUAAUGAAACCCCGUCUCUACUAAAAAUACAAAAAUUAGAUGGGCAUGGUGGCCAGCACCUGUAAUCCCAGCUACUCGGGAGGCUGAGGCAGGAGAAUCAUAUGAACCCAGGAGGGAGAGGUUGCAGUAAGCCGAGAUUGCGCCACUGCACUCCAGCCUAGUGACAGAGUGAGACCCAUCUCAGAAAAAAAAUAAAUAAAUAAACAAAACAAAACAAAAACUAUGUAGAGGCCUGGUCCCAUCACUGCCAAAUUAAAUCAGAAUUUUCAGAGGAUGAGGCAGGGGACUGACAUAUAUAUAUUUAAUUUCCUAGGUGAAUAUACUGUGUAGGAUGGAAACUAGUGACUAGUUCAAUUCUCCUGCUUUUCAGAUGAAGAAAAUUAAACACUACAGGAUUUAGUGGAGUGCUCAAGAACACAGUGUUGGCUUUCAGAACCAAACUAGCACUCAAUUCUACUAAUUCACAGCUUAUCCAUCUCUUAAUAACAUAUUACCUCUUCAUUUUAAUGUCACCAACUUAUUUAUUUACUCAUUUUGUUUUUGAGACGGGGUCUCGCUCUGUCACCCAGCCUGGAGGCAGUGGCACACUCUUGGCUCACUGCAACCUCUGCCUACUGGGUCCAAGCGAUUCUGCCUCAGCUUCUUGAGUGGCUGGGACUACAGGCAUGUACUACCAUGCCUAACUAAUUUUUCUUUCUUUUUUUUUUUUUUUUUUUUUUUUUUUUUUUUUUUUUUUUGUAGAGGCAGGGUUUCACUAUGUUGGCCUGGCUGGUCUCAAACUCCUGACCUUGUGAUCGGCCCUCCUCAGCCUCCCAAAGUGUUGGGAUUAUAGGCAUGAGCCACCGUGGCCGGCCUUAAUGUCACCAACUUUUUCAAAGAAAUGGUAGGCUUACCUACACAAUCUUAAAUAAUGUUGAACAUGCUUUGAAAUUCUGAAAUUCUCUUGCUAAGCUAUAGGAAGUAUCCUUUUAUGUUGAUUAUUAAUAGUUUUACUGUGCAUUUAGAAAUAUUGUAUACAUGUGAUAACUGAAGUUUUGUUGCCAAAAGGAAAAGCUUUCGCAAUGAGUUUACCAGGUAAUAAAAAUUCACUACUUAUUUGCACUUUGGUACAUUUUUAAUUAGCUAAGGGAAACUUCUUUAACUUCUAACCCAAAAUUACACUUUUUAGAAAUUUUGGCUUAAAAUCUGUGGCUUAUGGAAACUGUCAUAUAGGAAUUGUAUUUUAUUUCCACGUAGAAGUCAAUUUACAAGCAAAUUGUUAGGAUCACAUGAAUUUGACAUUAAUUUUACAAUUUUAAUAACAAAUUUAUUUUUAGAAGCCAUCUCGUUAUGAUUUCUCUGAUUAUUAACUUGAUUCCAUAAUUGACUUUGCAAUCUUUGGUUAGCCAAUACACACCCUCUACCAUCAUUAAUAACAUUUUUGCUCCAGCUUAUUAAGAAAUGAUGCUCAUCUCAUUUCAUGCUCUGGAAGCUUGAUGUCAGGAAAGGCAGCUUUAAUUAUAAGCUUUAAGAACAGAAGCUUAAUCCCAACUUGGAUUUAGCAAAUUUGAAAGCACUGUUAAGGCUACCUUCAUUCACAGUUACCUGGAUAUUGGGUCUCCUUUUUCUUAAAUUAAUUGUUGGUAUACCUACACCAAUAGGCUGAAGCAACAGAAAAAUGGUAAUUCAUCAUAGUACAUGUCAACAUAGGUACGGGUUCUAUCCUAUAAUCAAUUUUCGUCAGAUAUUUCCUUGAUUGCAAAAAGGUCUAAAUGAUAGAAUUCAAAAUAUUUGGUAGGUAUGGAGUUCAUGAGUCAAUAAAAUAAGAAUGUAAAAAUAUCUUCAAUGAAUACAAACUGUUACAUUUUUAAGAAAAAUGACUAUUAUUUUUCUUUUUCUAGAAAAGUACGUAUUUGGGAAGUGGGAAAAAUGGUUGUUUGUCCCAGAUUACUUUUCCAUUGAUUUGACAAAAAAAAAAAAAAAAAAAAAAGAGAGAGAGAGAGAGAGAAAUAACAAUUUUCUCAAAAAAUUGACCCAAAUAUAAAUAUUUUUAAUGUCCAUCCCUCAAUUCAUAUGUUGAAAUCCUCAUCUCCAGAGAUGAUGGUAUCCAAAGGCUUUUGGGAGGUGAUUAGGUCUUGGUUGGUGGGUCCCUCAUGAAUGGGACUGGUGCCCUUGUAAAAGACGCCCUAGAGAGAGACACGUCUCACCCCUUCUCCUCCAUGUGAGGUUAGAGUGAGAAGAUGGCUGUCUAGAGGGAGGCAAGCCCUUACAGAACACCAAUCUGUCCAAGCCUUCAUCUUGAACUUCCCAGUCUUCAGAACUGUGAGUUACUAAAUUCUGUUUAUAAGCCACCCAGUCUAUAGUAUUUUGUUAUAGCAGCCUGAAUGAACCAAGAAAAUUGUACGAUAUUAAAAAGUUUUAACGUUUCAUAUUUGUGCCUUUGUUUUCUGAAGUGAUACCAAAUGUUAUAUCUAUGAAACUAAUAGAGAAUGUAACCAUAACAGUGUAGAUUUAUUUUAAAUAUUAACUUCUCAAACAUAGAUUAUGCACAAUUUCCUAUACAAUACAUAUUUCUUAGAAUUGAACAAAAUGAGAUAUCUAAUUAAGUAGACCUAACCUGGCUACUUCAAUGACACAAAACGGAAGAAAGUUAAAAUCCAUUUUGGAAUAAAGCAGAAUACAUAAUUCAACAUACGUCAAAAUGUGGUCAUGCUGGUAAAAGUACACACUGAGAAAAUGUUAUGAAUCCUUAAAAAAUUAAAUAUGUGAAAAGUCCGUAGCUAUUUUAUGAUAUUCUGGGGGCUUUUAAAGAACACUCAUCUUCUACAAAAAAAAAAAGAGGAAUACUUGCAUAACAUUAGACUUUCACCUUGUUAAAUAAUAAUGGCUGCUAUAGAUAUAGCAUUAUUUUUCUUCACUUGUAUUAAUGAAUUUCUGAUAAAAUAAUUAAGAUUUUGUUAGUAUACUGUUACCAUAUGUUCCUUUGUAUUUGUUGAUUUCUAAAGCAAUUAUCUUAUACUAUAUCAUCCUUUUAUGAGGUCUUGUAUCAAUCUGUAUAGCGUGCUCCUUUAGCCACUAAAUGGAAUCAUAAAUGGAAAUCAUAAUAUUUACUGAAUUAAUGAUGAGAAUUCAUAAGCAUGAAUUUCAGAAAUAAAGAAUAAAUUGAUGUUCAGAAUAAUUUCUUUUUCAUGGUGUUCUGAAAUAGUAUUUUU
rnacentral:lncRNA from 10 species